AUUGAACGCUGGCGGCAGGCCUAACACAUGCAAGUCGAGCGCGAAAGGUUUUCGGACUGAGUAAAGCGGCGGACGGGUGAGUAAUGCAUGGGAAUCUGCCUGGUAGUGGGGGACAACGUUUCGAAAGAGACGCUAAUACCGCAUACGCCCUACGGGGAAGGGGGGAGUCUUCGGACCUCUCGCUAUCAGAUGAGCCCAUGUCAGAUUAGCUUGUUGGUGAGGUAAAGGCUCACCAAGGCGACGAUCUGUAACUGGUCUGAGAGGAUGAGCAGUCACACUGGAACUGAGACACGGUCCAGACUCCUACGGGAGGCAGCAGUGGGGAAUAUUGGACAAUGGGGGGCAACCCUGAUCCAGCCAUGCCGCGUGUGUGAAGAAGGCCUUAGGGUUGUAAAGCACUUUCAGUGGGGAGAAAGGUAAUUCACCUAAUACGUGAGUUAAUUGAUGUUACCCACAGAAGAAGCACCGGACUAACUCCGUGCCAGCAGCCGCGGUAAU
rnacentral:rRNA from 1 species